rnacentral:rRNA from 2 species
CAACUUUCAGCAGUGGAUGUCUAGGCUCGCACAUCGAUGAAGAACGCUGCGAACUGCGAUACGUAAUGCGAAUUGCAGGAUUCAGUGAGUCAUCGAAAUUUUGAACGCAUAUUGCACUUCCGGGUUA